AUUGAACGCUGGCGGCAGGCUUAACACAUGCAAGUCGAGCGGAGCGAGGGUGCUUGCACCUUAGCUUAGCGGCGGACGGGUGAGUAAUGCUUAGGAAUCUGCCUAUUAGUGGGGGACAACAUUCCGAAAGGGAUGCUAAUACCGCAUACGCCCUACGGGGGAAAGCAGGGGAUCUUCGGACCUUGCGCUAAUAGAUGAGCCUAAGUCGGAUUAGCUAGUUGGUGGGGUAAAGGCCUACCAAGGCGACGAUCUGUAGCGGGUCUGAGAGAAUGAUCCGCCACACUGGGACUGAGACACGGCCCAGACUCCUACGGGAGGCAGCAGUGGGGAAUAUUGGACAAUGGGGGGAACCCUGAUCCAGCCAUGCCGCGUGUGUGAAGAGGGCCUUUUGGUUGUAAAGCACUUUAAGCGAGGAGGAGGCGCUCUAGGAUAAUACCCUAGAUGCGUGGACGUUACUCGCAGAAUAAGCACCGGCUAACUCUGUGCCAGCAGCCGCCGUAACAC
rnacentral:rRNA from 1 species